UACGGAGGGGGCGAGCGUUGUUCGGAAUUACUGGGCGUAAAGGGCGCGUAGGCGGCUUAUCAAGUCAGGAGUGAAAGGCACGGGCUCAACCUGUGGACUGCUCUUGAAACUGGUAGGCUUGAGUCCGGCAGAGGGUGGUGGAAUUCCCCGUGUAGAGGUGAAAUUCGUAGAUAUGGGGAGGAACACCGGAGGCGAAGGCGGCCACCUGGACCGGUACUGACGCUGAGGCGCGAAAGCGUGGGGAGCGAACAGG
rnacentral:rRNA from 1 species